GUCACGGAUAAUCAUAAUCCCAUCUAUUGAUCCUAAACCUCUUUCAGCAGUGAGGAGAUGCAGUUACUGUAAGGGCAGUAAGGGCAAUGACUGUUCCCCAGGGACUUUGACAGAAAAAUCCAUUCACUUCAAAACUGAACACCAAGGCUUUUCUGGAAGAGCUAAAGAGUUGGAGGCUCAGGGAAUUGAAGUAAUUUGCACAAGUUCACCAACCUCUCCCAGUACAGAUGUGAAAAAAAAGAGCUGGCCAGCCUCAAAGAUCGUGCUUUCUCUGUGACAUCAUGCCAAGUCCCUGGAAGUUAAGCACUAGGAGCCUUAUUGCACAACUGGGUCAGCCAGGCGUCACCUGUCCCAGAAGCCUACGUGGGAAAUUCUAAGUGGGAAAAACACCCAGUCUCCUUUAAUAAAAAUGUGUUGUUGUUCAGUC